rnacentral:rRNA from 1 species
AGGACGAACGCUGGCGGCGUGCUUAACACAUGCAAGUCGAGCGGUAAGGCCUUUCGGGGUACACGAGCGGCGAACGGGUGAGUAACACGUGGGUGAUCUGCCCUGCACUUCGGGAUAAGCCUGGGAAACUGGGUCUAAUACCGGAUAUGACCUCCUAUCGCAUGGUGGGUGGUGGAAAGAUUUAUCGGUGCAGGAUGGGCCCGCGGCCUAUCAGCUUGUUGGUGGGGUAAUGGCCUACCAAGGCGACGACGGGUAGCCGACCUGAGAGGGUGACCGGCCACGACUGGGACUGAGACACGGCCCAGACUCCUACGGGAGGCAGCAGUGGGAUAUGCACAAUGGGCGAAAGCCUGAUGCAGCGACGCCGCGUGAGGAUGACGGCCUUCGGGUUGUAAACCUCUUUCAGCGAGGACGAAGCGACAAGUGACGGUACUGCAGAAGAGCACCGGCUAACGUACGUGCCAGCACGCCGC